GGACGAACGCUGGCGGCGUGCUUUAUACAUGCAAGUCAAGGAGAACGUUUUCUUCGGAAAACUAGUAAACUGGCGAACGGGUUAGUAACGCGUAGGUAACCUGCCCUAGUGAUCGGGAUAACUCUGUGAAAACGGGGCUAAUACCGGAUAAUAUCUACUCUCUCUGGAGUUUAGAUCAAAGUAGGCUUCGGCUUACACAUUAGGAUGGGCCUGCGUCUGAUUAGCUAGUUGGUAAGGUAAUGGCUUACCAAGGCUACGAUCAGUAGGUGGUUCGAGAGGAUGAUCACCAACACUGGGACUGAGAUACGGCCCAGACUUCUACGGGAGGCAGCAGUAAGGAAUUUUGCGCAAUGGCCGAAAGGUUGACGCAGCAACGCCGCGUGAUUGAAGAAGGUUUUAGGACUGUAAAGAUCUGUCAUAAGGGAAGAAAUGUAUUUAUUCUAACAAAAUAUUUGCUUGACGGUACCUUAUUAGAAAGCUCCGGCUAACUUCGUGCCAGCAGCCGCGGUAAUACGAGGGGAGCAAGCGUUGUCCGGAUUUAUUGGGCGUAAAGAGUUCGUAGGCUGAUUUAUAAGUCGAAAUUGAAAUCCAAUGGCUUAACCAUUGACACGGUUUCGAUACUGUAAAUCUUGAAUUAUGCAGAGGUAAGUGGAAUUCCUGGUGUAGCGGUGAAAUGCGUAGAUAUCAGGAGGAACACCAAAGGCGAAGGCAACUUACUGGGCAUCAAUUGACGCUGAGGAACGAAAGCGUGGGUAGCAAACAGGAUUAGAGACCCUGGUAGUCCACGCCGUAAACGAUGAGUACUUGGUGGUGGAAGAUUCGACCCUUUCACUGUCGGAGUUAACGCGUUAAGUACUCCGCCUGGGGACUACGGCCGCAAGGCUGAAACUCAAAGGAAUUGACGGGGACCCGCACAAGCGGUGGAUUAUGUGGUUUAAUUCGAUGCAACGCGAAGAACCUUACCUGGAUUUGACAUGUUAGUGAACGUUCUGUGAAAGCAGAUCCUUUUUUAAGCUUGCUUAAAAACACUAUCACAGGUGAUGCAUGGCUGUCGUCAGCUCGUGUCGU
rnacentral:rRNA from 1 species